rnacentral:tRNA from 1 species
GCCCGGGUGGCUCAGUCAGUUAAGCGUCUGACUUAGGCUCAGGUCAUGAUCUCGCAGUUUGUGGGUUCAAGCCCCACAUCAGGCU